AGGCCCAGCCUCCUCUAGGAGCCACACACCCAGCUGUCAGCCACAUAAUAAUGAAGAGUGAUUUGAAAAACAGCAUCAGUUUAAAUUUCCAUUUCAAAGAACUCCCCAUGUCCAGACUGACCUGAACCUCAGAAAGGAAUUUGCAGACUGUAUUGUAUCAGUGAUUGCACUAGUUAUACAAGAGCCAGCAUUACAGUGUGCAUGUACAGCAACAAAAGGGUUAAGAAAGAAACGAACAUUACUGAACGUGCUAAGGGAUUAGCUGCCUGCGUGCCUGAACAGCACCAUUUCACAGUGAGAGGUGAAACUAAGCAAAGUUUUCAAACUGGCCUACUUCUGAUUUGGCAAAUCUCUAAAGCAUGAGAAGUCAGCAAGUGUCUCCAGCAAAGGUUGGUAUACUGUACCCAGGUAUAGAGCCACUCUGUACAGACAGUACAACAAACGCUACCUGCUUUAAUAAAGCAAGACCUCAGUCUACUAAAGGGAAAAUCUGUGCCAGAAAUCCCCUCCAGAGAAAAAACCCUUCCUUAACCACUUCUGUCAGCAACAGGAGCCCAAAGAACUCUACACUGAACAGCUUCCGUGAAACCAGUUGUCAAAGGGAACACCAUGCUACCUCUACAAUCGACAAGCCUGCAAUUGCUCCACCAGUGUUCGUCUUCCAGAAGUUAGACCGAUCCUUAAAGAGGCCAGCCGAAGACCCUCUUUCAAGUCAUGCAAAUGGAGUUACAGCCUGCUGUGAGAAACGUGGGAGAUCGUCAUCAUUCACUUUCAUGCCUGCUGCCUCACAGAGCCUUGUAGAUGCAUCACAAGUCAGAGUCCGAUCUGCUUCUUUUACUGCUCCUCCUACAUUCCCUCCUUCACAGCUUGCAAGUCGAAACAAUAUAUUUAUGCCUUCAACCUUGCAUCAGAUGACAUGCGAGAAUCAUUCAGGCAUUGAUAAAGAGUCCACUUCAGUUAGCCAGUCCUGGAAUGUCCUGCGUCCUGCCAUUCUGCAGCCACCACAAGUUCAGACGUUCACCCAGUCAGUCAUGCUGGAUAAAGUGCAGGAAGUCCAGAGCAGUGAGAAGCAUUGUCAGACUGAUUCCGUAAGUACCCUUUUGCCUGAAGAGGAUUUCAGAAGUGUAGAAAAUCCGACUAAAUUAAGUACUUUCCUGCCACUCAAAGAAUCCGAACCAGCAAGAAGCCCUUUGAGCCAAGACAAUGUCCUAACAGAUGGUGGCAGUCCUCGUUUUGUCUUUGGGGAGAACAUGAGUGACAGAGUAGUGAACCCUCUACUGUCUUCAAAGUGUGAUGCUGAAGGGAAUGAGGGAGAAGCUGCGAAAGAUACAGAUGAGUUCCUUGCACAGUCCAGACCUACCGUUAUUGAAUCACCACGUACAAAAUAUGGUUCUGUGCAACCAACUACAUUGAUGGAAUCAGCAGCAGCUUAUACUGCAGCCUCAGCUCCAAAGUGUUUGCCUGUUGUAGUACCAAUUAUCACUGGCGAGGAAGGCGAGAGCAAUGUAUUGCAGAUCAGCUGCAAACUUUUUGUACAUGACAAACGUACGCAGUCCUGGACUGAAAGAGGAAGAGGGUAUCUGCGUCUAAAUGAUACAGCAAGCAAUGAAGAUGGAACUCUUCAGUCAAGGUUAGUGAUGAGGCAGCAAGGUAAUCUGAGAUUAAUUCUCAACUCCAGACUUUGGGCUAACAUGCAAAUUGAAAGAGCAAAUCGCAAAAGUCUCUGCUGCACUGCCACAGACCUAGAAGACAAAUCAGUUCAAGUUUUUCUUAUACAGGCUAGUGCAAAAGACAUAGGACGCCUGUACACAGCAAUACAUCACCGCCUUGUGGCUCUUAGAAACUGUGUUACACAAGAAUCUGACUCUACUCAGACUGAGCCUGACUCUGAAGCAUCAAUGACAUAUUUUAAGACUGACAGUGAAGAUGAGGAAGAUGAUGAGCUCACUCAGAUGGGUUGCACUGUGUCAGCUCAGCUGUGGUAUCUGACAUAAGUGUUCUGAAGACCAGUCCGAAAGCUAAUGCUUGAGUCCUAUCUGCUGGUAAAUUCUCUGUCCAUUUCUAUCCCUGUACACUUCAUUGUUCUGUGAAGUAAUGUCGAAUGCUAUACCGAAAUCCAGAUGCUACUGCAUUCCUCCUAUUGAUAACACUAUCAGUGACUCAGUCAGGUCGCUGUGGAUGGAUCGGUGGUCAAUCUGUACUGUGCACAUGACAAAGGCUCCCUCUGAUGGCAUGAAUGAUCUUAAAACAUUUCUUUCUAACAAUCCACAAAUGGACAGAUACUGAACUUUAUAACUUAAGACUUUUUAUACUACAAAAAGUAACAAAUCCAUAUUCACUGUGGAUAAAUCAACCCUUUGGGUGCCUGGAAUUUCUUCUGAAGAUACAGAAAGCAACAAAAAUGCACUUUACCAUCCCUGAUCAAGGGUAGCCUUUGUACCUUAUUUGGUAUAAGAAAACAAGUACCAUCACAUGGACAAAAGAGCCAUCAGUAACAGCAGUAGUUUGUGCAAAGGGACAUAACCAUAACAAGUUUAAGAUCAUUCAUCAUAUUGAUGGGAAGGAAGAUGUUUUAGCAUAAAUACACCGGAUUGCUGGUGAGAUAGCUAGCCUUAUGUAUUGACGAGCAGUCACACUGCAGCUUGGCAGUAAAAACUGAUAAUAAAUCUUGUACCAGACACAAGGAGUAAGGAAUGUCUGGAGUGAGAUUUUGCUUUGCCUAUUUUUGUUUAUACUUAAAUCUUUGAGAGAUGUUCUUCUAUUUAUAACCAAAGUGAUCCCAUUGGUGGAGGCAUUGAAGUGUGCUUAUUACUGAGUAUACAUUGCAUGGUUCUAGCACAUACUACUAGAGAUCCAUUUAACAGAUUUUGCAGCAGGCCUCAGUCAACUACAAUGCCCACCACCAGUGGAUUUACUGCAUACAUGUAAGCCUGUUAAAUAUGCUACAUAUCUUUAUGUAUAUAUUUGAUAUUUAUUUUUUUAGUUUUAAGAUAUAAGUGUAUAUAUACCUUUUAAAUGUGGAUUUUUGUAAACCUGUUUACAAAUUUUAAAGUAAUGAAUAAUGUUUUAUCAAUAUAUUCUGCUUUGGGGUCUUAACAAGAGGAUCACUUUGUAUAUCAUAUGUAGAAAGUCAGCAAACAGAACAGGCUCAUUGUCUUCCUUUCUGCCAAGCAUUUCCGAUUGCUGGUAAUAACCUUUACCAGGCUGAUAGUUUAGGGAAGCAUUAGUAGUAUCAGAUAGUGAAAGUCACUGCAUUUCUUUCACAUACUUGUGCCACAUAAAGUUAAUAAAUAAGAUAACAUAAUAGCAGUGAGAUUCCCACAUUAGUCUGUUUAUAAAGAGAAACAAGUGAAUGGUUAAAGCAUGUUCAAGCUGUUAUCCGGAUUAUUAUAACUUUAAAAAGA